rnacentral:rRNA from 1 species
GAUGAACGCUAGCGGCAGGCCUAAUACAUGCAAGUCGGACGGGAUUCAGGAGCUUGCUUCUGAUGAGAGUGGCGCACGGGUGCGUAACACGUAUGUAACCUACCUUUAUCAGGGGGAUAGCCUCUCGAAAGAGAGAUUAAGCCCGCAUAAAAUCACAGCACAGCAUUGUGUAAUGAUCAAAUAUUUAUAGGAUAAAGAUGGGCAUGCGGAACAUUAGCUAGAUGGCGGGGUAACGGCCCACCAUGGCGACGAUGUUUAGGGGAUCUGAGAGGAUGGCCCCCCACACUGGUACUGAGACACGGACCAGACUCCUACGGGAGGCAGCAGUAAGGAAUAUUGGUCAAUGGGCGGAAGCCUGAACCAGCCAUGCCGCGUGCAGGAAGACGGCCCUACGGGUUGUAAACUGCUUUUAUACAGGAAUAAACCCAGAUACGUGUAUCUGGCUGAAUGUACUGUAAGAAUAAGGAUCGGCUAACUCCGUG